rnacentral:lncRNA from 1 species
CCCUCCUCCUCCCGUCGUUCCUUGCCUCUCCUCACCUCUUCUCCCCACCGUAUCUCACAUUCUCCCUCCCUACUGUACAAUCUGACACCCCUGGUCCCCUGCGCCGUCAUCGCUCUCUCCGUCACCACUCGCAGCGGCUACCGCGCGGCACGGCUGCUGCAUAGUGAUUGAGGUCGUCACGGGGAGCGGCGGAGGACCGGC